rnacentral:tRNA from 1 species
GCCCUAAUAGCUUAAUGUUAAAGCACCGGUCUUGUAAGCCGGCGAUGGAGAUUAAAAUUCCCCUUAGUGCC